rnacentral:rRNA from 1 species
UCUCUCUCCACGCUGGAAACCCACCCCGGCUCCAACCCACCCCGCACGAUCUCGUCGGUCCAACCCACCCCGGCUCCUCUCCCCACGAUCUCCUCGCCGCCGCCCCCACCCACGCCGGCCGGUUCCGGCGAGCACCGGCCGUGCGCAACACCCCACCUCCUCCUCCUCCCCCUCCCUUCCCCUUCCUCCUCUGCCCGCCUCUUCUCUCUCCUCCUUCCUCCCGGCGGCCGGCGAUGGGCGCGGACGAGGAGGAGCACCAGUACCCCGUGCGGAAGCGCGAGCGCGAAGAGGGGGAGGAGCCCGCGGCCGCCGACGAGAAGCGCCCACGCACGGCGGACGAGUCAGAGGGCGUUUACCAGGAGAGGCCGCCCCGAAGCCUCUCGCCGCCGGAAACCCUCGCCGCCCAUCUCCACCGGAGCACCGGCGAGAAACCGUCCUCCUCCCUGGCAAUGGAUAAAAUCUACUCUGGAUAGUUGACAGAGGGAGUACAAGCUAAGUUGACUUUUUUCCCGCGGAUUUGCUUAUCGUGAAGAUGCUAGCAAGGAUGCAGAGGGAGCGGAUCAUUUGGAGAGAUAGGAUGCGACUGUUUGGUGUUUUUAUGCAUUUUGUUUUGCUUGUAACUGUGUUUGCACUAGCUGGGAGUAAGUGACUUCAAAAAGUGUAGGUGUUUUAAUUGAAGGCAUGAAAAGCCAUGACAAUAUGUAUACUCUUACAGGAUGUGUUCUAAUGCCGCUGGUUUAUUAUAAAUCUUGGAUUAGUAAUGAUGUGUAAUGCUGCUGGUUUAUUGCAAAUAUGU